ACAGGUCUUGUUGAGGGGAGUGAAGUCACUCAGACACCCACCAUACUCUGGAAACUGAAAGACAGUGAUGCUCUGAUGAACUGCAGUCACACUAAGGGAUCUAGCUACACCAGAUGUACUGGUACAGACAGCUUCCAGGAGAGGGAAUGAAGCAGGUAGUUUACACAAGUAGUUAUAGCGAUCCAGAAUAUGGAGACUUCAGUAAAGACAAAUAUCCAACUGUUAAGGCUAUAGCUGAGAGUGGAUCUUUCACAGUGAAGAAGUUGGAGACAGGAGACAGUGGAAUGUACUUCUGUGCUGUGAGUGAACACAGUGAUACAGACAACAAGUACAGCUGCACAAAAACCCCAGUAUUUCAAUAGGAUGUAAUAUAAUAUGUAAAUAGAUGGUCUCAUCACAUACUGUAGGGGACCUCUAACUCUAGUUCUUCUAAUGUCUGAUGGUUUCAUUGUCAUGAUCAUGUAAUCAGUCAUGUUCACAGUGAGGUCCUAUGAGCAAGCUUUACAGUACAGGCUUCCUGACACUCCUUCUAACACUGUCACUAUCCACCACCCUGAAGGAAACAUGCUACUACAACAGCCAAUCUCCUUUCACCUCAGAGCUUCACCCAGGAGACACUCAUAUCACAUCCUCAUCAUCAUCGUCUUCCUCAGCAUAUUCAUCAUCUUCAUCAUCAUCAUAAUAUUUUUCUUCAUCAUGAUGUUCAGAGUUCUGAUUCACCUGGCAGCUCUACCACUCUGGGUGACAGGGCAGUUGUUUAGUAGCAUGGUUCAUCAGAGGCCUGUGGCACUAACAGAAGGUCCUGGAGGAGACGUUCAACUCACCUGCAGCCAUACGAUCCCUAACUACUACGUGAUACUAUGGUACAAACAGUCAGCAGGAGACACUGCUAUGAAACUCAUUGGUUAUGCAUAUACCAAGUCAAUAACCAUGGAGAAAUCAUUUGAAAAGCACUUUAAUGUGAGUGGAGACGGUGGGAAAGAGGCUUAUCUUCAUCUAGUGAGUCUGAGAGGACCUGAACACAGUGCAGUUUAUUACUGUGCAGCCAGCCAACACAGUGAUGUAGACUUCCUCCUGCUCUCUACUAAAACCCUGUCUGAUGGUAAUAUUAGACCACGGC
rnacentral:lncRNA from 1 species